GUAUAAGUUUACCGACGCUUUUUUAAGGCGAAGAUAUUGAUUUACAUUCUGUUAGACAUGCGUCGAUGAAAUGAGACGUAGGGACCCUUUUUACAGGCCCUUACAUUAGGUUCACAAGUGUGUGUGGAUUAAGGGCUCGGGCGUGCACGUGCCCCGAAAGGCCAGCUACAACCCUCACCGGUAAUUUCAAUAAUGAUCCUUCCGCAGGUUCACCUACGGAAA
rnacentral:misc_RNA from 1 species